CAGUAGCCGCGGUAGUACGAAGGGGGCUAGCGUUGCUCGGAAUCACUGGGCGUAAAGGGUGCGUAGGCGGGUCUUUAAGUCAGGGGUGAAAUCCUGGAGCUCAACUCCAGAACUGCCUUUGAUACUGAAGAUCUUGAGUUCGGGAGAGGUGAGUGGAACUGCGAGUGUAGAGGUGAAAUUCGUAGAUAUUCGCAAGAACACCAGUGGCGAAGGCGGCUCACUGGCCCGAUACUGACGCUGAGGCACGAAAGCGUGGGGAGCAAACAGGAUUAGAUACCCGCGUAGUCCCUGUCUCUUAUAC
rnacentral:rRNA from 1 species